GACGAACGCUGGCGGCGUGCCUAACACAUGCAAGUCGAGCGGUUCUUAAGCUGUAGUUUACUAUAGCUUAAGAAUAGCGGCGAACGGGUGAGUAACACGUGGGCAACCUGUCCGAAAGAAUCGGGAUAACAGUCCGAAAGGGCUGCUAAUACCGAAUACGCUUACCGGGUCGCAUGAUCCGGUAAGGAAAGGUCGGCAACUUCCGCUUUCGGGUGGGCCCGCGUCCCAUUAGCUAGUUGGUAGGGUAACGGCCUACCAAGGCAACGAUGGGUAGCUGGUCUGAGAGGAUGGUCAGCCACACUGGGACUGAGACACGGCCCAGACUCCUACGGGAGGCAGCAGUGGGGAAUCUUGCGCAAUGGGCGAAAGCCUGACGCAGCGACGCCGCGUGAGCGAGGAAGGCCUUCGGGUCGUAAAGCUCUUUCAGCCGGGAAGAAAACGCACUCUCUAACAUAGGGUGUGGAUGACGGUACCGGAAGAAGAAGCACCGGCUAACUACGUG
rnacentral:rRNA from 1 species